GAUGAACGCUGGCGGCGUGCCUAACACAUGCAAGUCGAACGGACUCAUAUUGAAACCUAGUGAUUUAUGAGUUAGUGGCGGACGGGUGAGUAACGCGUGGAAAACCUGCCGUAUACCGGGGGAUAACACUUAGAAAUAGGUGCUAAUACCGCAUAAGCGCACAGCUUCGCAUGAAGCAGUGUGAAAAACUCCGGUGGUAUACGAUGGUUCCGCGUCUGAUUAGCUAGUUGGCGGGGUAACGGCCCACCAAGGCAGCGAUCAGUAGCCGGACUGAGAGGUUGGCCGGCCACAUUGGGACUGAGACACGGCCCAG
rnacentral:rRNA from 1 species